GACGAACGCUGGCGGCGUGCCUAAUACAUGCAAGUUGAGCGCAGGAAACUGACGGAACUCUUCGGAGGGAAGGCAGUGGAAUGAGCGGCGGACGGGUGAGUAACACGUAAGGAACCUGCCUCAAGGAUUGGGAUAACUCCGAGAAAUCGGAGCUAAUACCGGAUAGUUCAUCGGACCGCAUGGUCCGUUGAUGAAAGGCGCUUCGGCGUCACCUUGAGAUGGCCUUGCGGUGCAUUAGCUAGUUGGUGGGGUAAUGGCCCACCAAGGCGACGAUGCAUGGCCGACCUGAGAGGGUAGUCGGCCACACUGGGACUGAGACACGGCGCAGACUCCUACGGGAGGCAGCAGUAGGGAAUCUUCCACAAUGGACGAAAGUCUGAUGGAGCAACGCCGCGUGAGUGAUGAAGGUUUUCGGAUCGUAAAACUCUGUUGUAAGGGAAGAACACGUACGAGAGGAAAUGCUCGUACCUUGACGGUACCUUACGAGAAAGCCACGGCUAACUACGUGCCAGCCGCCGCAGUAA
rnacentral:rRNA from 1 species